GCCAAAAGGCCGGGCAGAGCUGCUUCGGUGUCUGGGUGAAGUUUCCAGCCAACCCAAGAAGGAAACCGAAAGGGAAGAGGCCGAGAGAGAGCCGCCUUCUCUCUAGCUACUGAGGGGAAAAGUCAGGAUGAAGCGGGUCCCUCGGCCUCCAGAAGGUGUUUUAUUACAGUCGCAAACAGGUAGAGCGGCAGCCACCCCAGUGAUGACUCCCUGCUCCUUAGAUUGUAGGGACGCUGGCACCUCACUCAUGCUCCUAAGUGGCCAUUUUGCGCCCUGGCUGGGCGAGUUAGGCAGACAAAAUGAGCCCCCAAAAGUUUAAAGGCCUCCACCAAAGGAGUAUUUCUUUUCUGAGGUGUCAUUGUAUUCCAUCCACGAACUUCAGUUCCCCCGGGUGCUCUGGAUCUGACAUGGAGUAGGAUGCUAACAUCUAAUCCCUUCUUUCCCUUUGGAAAGAUGCAUGUUUUUUCUCGGAGUCCUAGGGAAUACCUUAGAAUACUUUCAUGGUUGUCAUUGGUACACCCAUCCCUUGAGGAGCCCUGCCACCCGUAAGUAGGACUGCAAGGAAAUACAAAAUUAAGAGAAGUAUGAACCCUGAUACCCAGGAACUUAAAAUCAGGUGUAUAAAUUUUGUACACCUAAAAAAUAUGGUACCUAAAGAGGCGAACAGCAAAACAAGCAAGAAUGUGAAUCUUUAAAAUGUUUCUAUUCUUCAGCGCAGCCCAGGAAUUCUACCUAAAGUAACAUAUCCUAAGGCAACAACCAAGAAGUGUGGAAGAAUGCAUGUAAGAAGACACAGUGAUGUUUAGAAUCCUGGGGAAACGGAACAGCCAAAAAGUCUCACAGAGGUUAAGUAAAUAAUAGCAUUUUCAUACGAGUACUAUGUAGUCAUUUAAAAUUAUGUCUUUCAGUACCUAGUAAUGGGGAAAAUGUAUUCAUUAUAUAUUAUUAAAGAAAAUACAGGGUACAAAACACUGUA
rnacentral:lncRNA from 1 species